GAUCAUGGCUCAGGAUGAACGCUAGCUACAGGCUUAACACAUGCAAGUCGAGGGGCAGCAUGAUCGAAGCUUGCUUUGAUUGAUGGCGACCGGCGCACGGGUGAGUAACGCGUAUCCAACCUUCCCUGUAGUAGAGGAUAGCCCGGCGAAAGUCGGAUUAAUACUCUAUGUUGUAUUUCGAUGACAUCUGAAGAAUACCAAAGGUUUACCGCUAUAGGAUGGGGAUGCGUCUGAUUAGGUUGUUGGCGGGGUAACGGCCCACCAAGCCCACGAUCAGUAGGGGUUCUGAGAGGAAGGUCCCCCACAUUGGAACUGAGACACGGUCCAAACUCCUACGGGAGGCAGCAGUGAGGAAUAUUGGUCAAUGGACGUAAGUCUGAACCAGCCAAGUAGCGUGCAGGAUGACGGCCCUAUGGGUUGUAAACUGCUUUUAUAUAGGGAUAAAGUUCACCACGUGUGGUGUUUUGUAGGUACCGUAUGAAUAAGGACCGGCUAAUUCCGUGCCAGCAGCCGC
rnacentral:rRNA from 1 species